rnacentral:rRNA from 1 species
GCAUCGAUGAAGAACGCAGCGAAAUGCGAUAAGUAAUGUGAAUUGCAGAAUUCAGUGAAUCAUCGAAUCUUUGAACGCACAUUGCGCCCGGUGGUAUUCCAUCGGGCAUGCCUGUUCGAGCGUCAUUUCAACCCUCAAAGCCUAGCUUUGGUGUUGGAGGACGACCCGUGAAACGGUCCCCUCCCAAAAGGAUUGGCGGGCCCGCUGGAAAUUAGAGCGUAGUAAGUUUUACCUCGUUCGCAAGGACUAGCGGGACUUCUGGCCGUAAAAUCUCUCCCCACGUAUUCCAAAAAAAAAUUGACCUCGGAUCAGGUAGGAAUACCCGCUGAACUUAAGCAUAUCAAUAAGCGGAGGA